UGUUUCUUAUUUUUUUUUUAUUUGGUGAUUUUUUUUGUAUAGGUUCCAAUUGAACCAAAUAAGAAAAAUGUGAGUAAAAUUUAACAAUUCAUUAAAAUAUCUUAUUGUUUUCAGUUAGGUACCUACACCUACGUAUGUACCUAGUUCUUUAUUUCUUAUUAUUGUGGAUAGGCACAUAUCGUCGGCGUAAAGCAAAAUUGUUCUCAGUACAAAGGAUUUCUUAAAGACUUAGAACCAGAGAUACACAAAGGAGAUGGGAAACUUUCGUACGUUUUACCCCCCAAAAUCCAUUUUCCUAAAAUUGUUUUUGUAAUUUGAACCGUGUCUGGGAAUAAAUAUGAAAAGCAACAACAAAGUGAUGAGGUGAAAAACGAGUUUAUUUAAAAAAUAAAUGUACUCAGAGAUACCCAAACACCAUUUUUAAGCCCGCAAAUUAGUGAAGUUAUGCUCUUGUGUACGAAAGUGAUUUAACUACAGAAGAUCGAUCCUCUGACGAUUAUUUGAGUAAACAUUGGUAUAAGAAAAUAUAUUCAUUUGCCAAGGUUACCGACACACUUCUGCUAGGGUGGUUGUCUGGUAAAGAAGCUGAAUAUAUGGAGACCUUGUCGCAAGAAGCAGUUGCAGAAAAAUGCACUGAAAUUCUUAAAAUAUUUCUGAAGGAUCAUCUCGUUCCAAAGCCAAAGAAAUGUAUAUGCACAAGCUGGAAAUCUCAAUAGUACACUCGAGGAUCAUAUACAUCAAUACCUCUAGGAGCAUCUCAAGAGGAUAUUGAAAAUCUCGCACAACCUCUUUACGCAAAUCCCCAUCAAAUGAAAGCAAGUGUUUUAAUUUAUCUUAAUAAAAACCAAAAAUAAUUUGCCUUUUAAUUUUCUUUAUACUUAUCUAGCCUGCAGUGCUGUUUGCUGGUGAACAACACAUUCAAAUUUGUAUUCAACCGUACAUGGUGCCUAUUUAAGUGGAAGAACUGCCGCACAAUACAUCCUCCUUAAUGAUGAACCCGAAGAAAUUAUUAUGGAGUCCGAUACAAGUGACCUAAGUUCAUGGAUUCGAGGAAUAUCAUUGGACUAAAAUUGUUUAACAAUUAAAAGGGGAUAUAAAACGCACUCGAAGACAACAAAAAAACGUAAGCUGAAAUCACAGUUACUAUAUAAUUCAUAUUUAACUCUCAAAUCUAAACAAAAUAAACAACAAAACUGUCCACCCGCUUAUGCGGGUCCACCCAAUUAUGAUGUAUGUAUAUUAUAAGAACAUGAUUAUUUUAAAUAUAAAAGCAACGCAGUGAUAAGUAAAUUUAUAACUAACAUUUAAGAACUAACUCUAAUUCAACGCUGAACAAAAAAAAUUUUAUGUAUAACUUAUAAAAUAUUAUAUAUUUUCUAUUUAUUGAGUGCGCGAUUUAGUUUUGUAAGGUACGAGUGAUUCAUAUGAAUAGAAUUAAGAAAAUGAUACCAAGAUUGCAAUGAUUAUUAUUUUUGUAAAAGCAUGUUCUGUUGUGUAUUUGAUAAAUUUCUGUGCAAUAUUAUUUGUAAAAUUAAAUUAAUAGAAGAACUUCGAAACUUAAUAAAGGAGAUCAAAUCUCAAGUAAAACCUAAUUAUUUUAGGAAGAAGUUUUUUUGAAUUGGCAAAGAAGAACUAAUAACAAACAGUUAAAACCAUGGUGUGUGCUUUCAAAACAAAGAACGUGAUUCAAUGUGUAUGAAAUGGAUAACAGCCGUUGCAGUUGAACCCGAAUCAAAUGGUACUGAUAAUGUCUGAUUGCAAUAGUCGGCAAAACUAUACCUACUCAUCAUUACUUUCGCUAUAAAAUCUCAAAAACGAAUUUUCAACAAAAUUCCUUUUAAUUUUUAGUUUUUUUAUUUUUAUUUUUCGAAAUACAUGAUAGUAUAUGUCCCAUGCAUGGGCCAAAUCCAUCCAAUUUCGAAGAAGUCUUAUGUCUCUGGCUUCAUUCGUAGUCUUCGGUUAAUACACGUCCAUAGGCCUGACUGAAUGUAGUCUUUUUCAAUGUUUGUGGCCCACAAUCAAGCAUAUUGUAUUGUGCAAUGGUUCCAAUAUCUCAAACAUUCCUUUUACAUUUCUUUCACCAAUGUACAAACGGGAAGCCUCUUCCAGUCCCUCAGCCCAUUGUUCAUGCCAGAGGAUGGCCACUGGCCACCCGAAUCAAUUCCUCACUGCACAUCAUCGCUUGUUCAACCAAUUUCAGGGAGUGUUUGCGCAUUGAAUCGAGAAUCUUAAGGGUAUGUUUCAGGGCCAAAAAAUGAUUAGGACUUUGCGCCAAGCUCUGCAGAAUCCACAUUUUUGAGAAUAUUUAAUUGAAAUAAACGAUUUUGGAUUAAGAAUAUAUGUGGGGACAUAUAUUGCUGGCUUGAAAAAAAAAACAAAAAUUUUGUAGUUGUCAAAAUCAGUAAAAACUAUGAAAAAUCGUCAAAUUUAGAUAUGUGUUCUUAAGGACCUCUGGGAAAUUCAUCAAAUGUUAUUUUUUUAUUUGUGCAUAUUUUUUUUUUACAUAACAAUAAACCCCUACAUUUCAGGACAUCUUCAUUUUUUUGAAAUUUAGUAUCAUUUGUAUGAAAAAAAAUAUUACCAAACCCCGAAAAAAAGGGCAAAUUUGCAAAAAACAUCAAUGCUAGAUUUCGUAUAACUUUAAAAGUUCAAAAGCUAUAGAAACAAAAUAAACUGUUUUUUAAAGCCUGAAAAUGCAUUAACAUAACUCUAUUUUUUUUAUAAUAAAAAAAAAAAAUUAUGAGUUUUUGAAACAAAAAAUCUGGAAAAAUUAUAGGUUUUUGGUGUCUUUUUUUUAUUGCCUGGCGGGAAAUCCAUAAAUAAUUUUUUUUUAAUUUUUUUAUUAUUUUAAUAUGAUAAAAUAUAUUUCAGAGCUUCUCACGACAUAUUUUUUUUUUUUGAUUUUUUGGACCUAACAUACUUAUAAACGCAAUUGAAUAUGUGAAUAUGUAUAAUGUCGUUGUGAAUGAAGGGAAACCUUGACAAUAUCAAUUUAUUUUUUGUAUUUUUUUUUGUUAUUUUGUUUAUAGGUUCCAAUAAAAAAAAAUAUUUUUUCAUGGGUGGUAUAUUUAAUUUUAAUUUUUAAAAUUGUGUCUAUUUUGCGUUUUUCACCUAGAAAAAUUCUUUUUUUCACGCACACAAAUAUAUUUAGUUCAACAAAAUUCCACUGCUAAAUCAGCGCUAAAACAUUCUCUUUUCGCUGCAUUCUCUUUUUUUUUUAAUAAAUCCGCUCUCAUUUUUUCUCAUAUUUUUGUUUGACUCUCGUCGCGUCUGUUUUUUUUGUCUUAUUUUUUAUUUGUCUCAUUUUUUUUCAAUCCUAGACUUUGUGGAAGGUCAGAUUUUUUUUGUUGCAAGAUAUUUGCUUGAUUUUUUUUAUUGGUGUGGGUGACAGUAAUUGUAUAUUUUUCGUUUUUGUUUUCGGAGAAGUAAGUUAGGUAUGUAAUGUUUUUGUUUUUGUGCAUGGUCAUGAUUGCAAUAUUUUUUUUAUAGUUGAUGGACGAGUAUUACUUUUCGGUACAUAUAGUGUAUAGGAACAUAGCUUGCAUAUAUAGAUUUGUUUUGGUAAAGUAGGCAAAAUUAAUUUCGACAUCAUUUUUUUUUCAAUAUUGGUCUAUUCUAUUAUGAAGUCAUAAAACACAAAUAAAUUACAUUUUACAGACAUCAUCCUGGACGUGUGCCACUUCCAGCGUCCUUGUCCUCGUGACCGACAGACAUCGUGUCGUCGGUCGGCGGCGGCGCGGCGGCCAUUGGCAUACCUACAUAGAUGUUGUUAAAAAAUUGUAAACACUUUUGGGUACCUACCUACUUUUAUUUCUUUCAGAAUCAAGAUAGCUACUUGUAAAUAAAAUCUGUAGGUAAACAUUGGUUGGGUUCAAAAAAAAUUAUAGCUGUAUGUAGGUAGGUAAAUUCUUUACUUUUUUUUUGAAGAGUAGGUAUAUUUUAAAUUUGCGAAAUUCUGCAACAGAUAAUGAAUGUGUCAAUAUAAUCAAUGUUAUAUAAUGUUUUUACCUAAUAUAUGUAUGUACAUCAGAAAGGAGAAAAUCUAUCAUUUUUUGUUUUCUUUGGUUACACAUGAACAUUGUGAGGGAAAAGGGUUGAGUGGGAGAUACGUACGGCGGAGAAAAGAUAUUGUAGAUAUUUUGUAUACCAUUUCUUUCUGUAGUGGAUAGAAAACAUAACUAAAUAGUUUUUAACCAAGUUUUGAAUCCAACUAUUACUGUAGAAGAUAAAAAUAAAAAAUAAAAAAAUCGUAUUUUUGUAUUUUUUUCAAUAUAUUUGAGGUUUUAUAAAAAAAAAUGGUUUUUGUAAAAGUUGUAGACAUUUAUACCUACUGUCUACAAUUUUUAACUUUGCGUUUAACUUUUUUCGAUAGGAGGUCUACUUUUGACAGAAAUCGUAAAAAAAACGAUUUUUGACACCCACCCCACUUUUUCGCCCACCCACCCCCUUUUUCCCAAUUUGUUUGUGGGCAAUUUAUUUUUCCCCUUUCAUAUACAUACCUACCUACCAUUUAUCCUAAAUUUUUCCACCACCCAUAUGCUGCUAAUAGUUUUUUUAUUUUCAAAAACUAUUGGCACUGGUCUAACACAACUGGCCGGUGCGAAAUUUUUCCUUGCUCUGUCGUCAUACCCACAGUAAU